CAAGAAUACGGCCUAAGCUUGUCAAUGUGUGUUGCUGUAUGCACAUACGCUUGCCCUUUGCCCAGACAUUC
rnacentral:lncRNA from 1 species